CGCUGUCCGACGAGCUCCGCUGCACGGAAAGUGUCCAGCGCGUCCCCCGGCUGCUCUGGCCACAGAUACGGAAGACGACCUCUCUCCGCAUUCAUGACCUCUGCGGUUUGGACCUUCCUUGGGUCGUGGGGGCCGGUCUGAGACGUCCCCCGAUCCCCAGCAUGGACCCAUCCAGGUCCGCCGUGGGGGUGGCUGAGCCGAGGCCCCAGUGCCUAGGCUGAUUCGGCUGCAGGAUCCCAGCCCCUUAAAUCCCCCGAUGACUUUGAAGACAUGAAACAGAAACUCACUGCAGGAUUCCGUGGACUGACGAAUGAGAGGAUCCCAGGUGGAUUUUUGCAAGGCAGUCCUGUGUGAGAGAUGUUUACUUCCUCCUGGGCCCACCGCAACAACUCAGGCAGUUGUCACCAGGUAACAGUGCAAUCUCAGGUUGGCACAGGUCCUCAGUAAGUUUCCCUGAAUGAGUCUGAGACUCAGUGGACACUGCCCAACAGUGAACUUCCCCUCUGUGCUGGGAGCAAGUGGGAUUAAGAAGCAAGGACAACAACAGCCGAUAUUGUCUGUCCAGAAGACAGGCUGCAAAUUUGUAAUGAGGAAGGAGGAUUCAGCAGUAUCUAAAGGCUCUUUGUUGCAAGUUUAUUUUUGUUUGAUAAUUAUGCUGUGUCCAAAGUUUCUUUGUCAGAAAUCCUUCAGUUUGAGAAAUUAAAUUUGUUUACUCAUUCUUUCAAUAAAUACGUGGGUUUAUAAACCGA